rnacentral:rRNA from 1 species
GAGAGGAAGGUCCCCCACACUGGAACUGAGACACGGUCCAGACUCCUACGGGAGGCAGCAGUGAGAAAUAUUGGUCAAUGGCCGGAAGGCUGAACCAGCCAUGCCGCGUGAAGGUCAGUGCCCUAUGGGCGUUAAACUUCUUUUGUGCGGGAGCAAUAAGGUCCACGUGUGGACCGACGAGAGUACCGUACGAAUAAGCAUCGGCUAACUCCGUGCCAGCAGCCGCGGUAAUACGGGGGAUGCAAGCGUUAUCCGGAUUUAUUGGGUUUAAAGGGUGCGUAGGCUGUGAGGUAAGUCAGCGGUGAAAUGCCCCCGCUCAACGGGGUGAAGUGCCAUUGAUACUGCCUUGCUGGAAUGCGGAUGCCGUGGGAGGAAUGUGUGGUGUAGCGGUGAAAUGCAUAGAUAUCACACAGAACACCGAUUGCGAAGGCAUCUCACGAAUCCGCUAUUGACGCUGAUGCACGAAAGCGUGGGUAUCAAACAGGAUUAGAUACCCUGGUAGUCCACGCUGUAAACGAUGAUGACUAACCGUCGGCGAUACACAGUCG